rnacentral:rRNA from 1 species
UACGGAGGAUCCAAGCGUUAUCCGGAUUUAUGGGGUUUAAAGGGUGCGUAGGCGGCCUAUUAAGUCAGGGGUGAAAGACGGUGGCUCAACCAUCGCAGUGCCCUUGAUACUGAUGGGCUUGAAUACACUUGAGGUAGGCGGAAUGUGACAAGUAGCGGUGAAAUGCAUAGAUAUGUCACAGAACACCAAUUGCGAAGGCAGCUUACUAAGGUGCAAUUGACGCUGAGGCACGAAAGCGUGGGGAUCAAACAGG